rnacentral:ncRNA from 1 species
UCACGAAAAGGGCAAACCGCUCGAAAGAGCGGGGCGCAAAGCCAUGGGCCUAAGGCCCUGGUUAGGGCUAUGGCUGCCAGGCUGCCGUG